rnacentral:rRNA from 1 species
GACGAACGCUGGCGGCGUGCUUAACACAUGCAAGUCGAACGGAAAGGCCCUGCUUUUGUGGGGUGCUCGAGUGGCGAACGGGUGAGUAACACGUGAGUAACCUGCCCUUGACUUUGGGAUAACUUCAGGAAACUGGGGCUAAUACCGGAUAGGAGCUCCUGCUGCAUGGUGGGGGUUGGAAAGUUUCGGCGGUUGGGGAUGGACUCGCGGCUUAUCAGCUUGUUGGUGGGGUAGUGGCUUACCAAGGCUUUGACGGGUAGCCGGCCUGAGAGGGUGACCGGCCACAUUGGGACUGAGAGACGGCCCAGAGUCCUACGGGAGGCAGCAGUGGAGAAUAUUGCACAAUGGGCGGAAGCCUGAUGCAGCAACGCCGCGUGCGGGAUGACGGCCUUCGGGUUGUAAACCGCUUUCGCCUGUGACGAAGCGUGAGUGACGGUAAUGGGUAAAGAAGCACCGGCUAACUACGUG